rnacentral:misc_RNA from 1 species
AAAGUCGUAACAAGGUUUCCGUAGGUGAACCUGCGGAAGGAUCAUUACAGAGUUCAUGCCCUACCGGGUAGAUCUCCCACCCUUGAAUAUACUACCUUUGUUGCUUUGGCGGGCCGCUUUGUCCACCGGCUUCGGCUGGUGAGUGCCCGCCAGAGGACCCAACAUUCUGAAUUACAGUGUCGUCUGAGUACUAUAUAAUAGUUAAAACUUUCAACAACGGAUCUCUUGGUUCUG